UUUGGCGCAAAGACUGGAGGCAAGAUUUGCAAUGUUAUUAGCAAAAUAAGCUUUUCUGCAAAUGAAGAGGAAGGAGAGAAGAACCUUUUAGAAAGAGUCGCUUGAUAAAUAAGUGGCCAAUGGCAGGGGAAUGAUUGUCAAAUAGAGUCAUGAUCCUAAAAA
rnacentral:lncRNA from 1 species